GAUUGAUGUGAUGAUAACUUUGUCGGAAUAUUCUAUGUCGACUAAAUUAAUCAUACUACAAUUAUCUGAUUAUCU